rnacentral:rRNA from 1 species
AUGGCUCAGGACGAACGCUGGCGGCGUGCCUAACACAUGCAAGUCGAACGGAGUAAGAAUUCGGUUUUACUAGUGGCGAACGGGUGAGUAACGCGUGAACAACCUGCCUUUCUGAGGGGGAUAACACCUGGAAACAAGUGCUAAUACCGCAUAAGACCACAGAGCCGCAUGGCCCAGGGGUCAAAGGAGUGAUCCGCAGGAAGAGGGGUUCGCGUCCCAUUAGCUAGUUGGCGGGGCAACGGCCCACCAAGGCGACGAUGGGUAGCCGAGCUGAGAGGCUGAUCGGCCACACUGGAACUGAGACACGGUCCAGACUCCUACGGGAGGCAGCAGUGGGGAAUAUUGGGCAAUGGGCGCAAGCCUGAACCCCAGCAACGCCGCGUGAGGGAAGAAGGUCUUCGGAUUGUAAACCUCUGUCCUAUGUGACGAAGGAAGUGACGGUAGCAUAGGAGGAAGCCCCGGCUAACUACGUGCCAGCAGCGGC